rnacentral:misc_RNA from 1 species
ACAAAUCAUGCGCUGGUCCUUGGGCCGCGUACAUUCACCCGGAGCCCUUUGGGGUUCUUGUGGUUCGGGGUUGUGUGUUGUGUUGUGUGCGUAUGUAUAUACGCAACGCGCACACACACACACCCCAAAACAUAGACGCUUGCAUGUUUGACUGUAUCAUUGGCAACAAAAUGGA